rnacentral:rRNA from 1 species
GCGUGCCUAAUACAUGCAAGUUGAGCGCUGAAGGUUGGUACUUGUACCAACUGGAUGAGCAGCGAACGGGUGAGUAACGCGUGGGGAAUCUGCCUUUGAGCGGGGGACAACAUUUGGAAACGAAUGCUAAUACCGCAUAAAAACUUUAAACACAAGUUUUAAGUUUGAAAGAUGCAAUUGCAUCACUCAAAGAUGAUCCCGCGUUGUAUUAGCUAGUUGGUGAGGUAAAGGCUCACCAAGGCGAUGAUACAUAGCCGACCUGAGAGGGUGAU